rnacentral:misc_RNA from 1 species
GCUUACCUGUCCCGACGGAAUUGGAUGGCCUCGCUGCUCGUUUUCAUCUCGUGCCCUCUCUGGGCAUGGGAUGAACUCGUUGGUGCUUUGCAUGUUCCUUUGUAAGCCAUUGGCUUAUCUCUCGGCCCAUGCUCUGUUGCCUGACCCUCGGAUGCUGAAAAUUCAGUGGGCAACGGGGGGUUGUGAAACCCUUUUGAUAAGCCCAAGCCCAGCGCUCGUCGCUCAAACCGAAAGACGUUGUGGCUCGCCUUGGCGUUCUUGAACCCGCGGGUUCUUGUGACGGCCAUGCGUUGUCCCAAUCGUCCUGAGGAAAGCUACCUGGUUGAUCC